rnacentral:rRNA from 1 species
UACAGAGGGUGCAAGCGUUAAUCGGAAUUACUGGGCGUAAAGCGUGCGCAGGCGGCUAUGUAAGACAGGUGUGAAAUCCCCGAGCUUAACUUGGGAAUUGCAUUUGUGACUGCAUGGCUAGAGUGUGUCAGAGGGAGGUGGAAUUCCACGUGUAGCAGUGAAAUGCGUAGAUAUGUGGAGGAACACCAAUGGCGAAGGCAGCCUCCUGGGAUAACACUGACGCUCAUGCACGAAAGCGUGGGGAGCAAACAGG